GGUGGCAAGCGUUGUUCGGAAUUACUGGGCGUAAAGGGCGCGUAGGCGGCCAUCUAAGUCAGACGUGAAAUCCCCCGGCUUAACCUGGGAACUGCGUCUGAUACUGGACGGCUUGAGUAUGGGAGAGGGAUGUAGAAUUCCAGGUGUAGCGGUGAAAUGCGUAGAUAUCUGGAGGAAUACCGGUGGCGAAGGCGGCAUCCUGGACCAUUACUGACGCUGAGGCGCGAAAGCUAGGGGAGCAAACGGG
rnacentral:rRNA from 1 species